GAGAUGAAGAUGAGGAGGAUGAAACGGAUGAAGAAGAAAGAAAAGGCUGCCGCGUGUAAAUGCCAAACCAGAAGGAGAGUGUACUCUGCAAGGAGCUGCAGUUUGUAACUCAAGCUGUUCACAAUAUAAACAGGAUGAUGACAACUCGAGCGAGGCUUGUGAAAACGUCUAAGAAAAGAAGCGAGAGCUUUUGCUGACAGCCACGAGCAGCUUCCAGUUUGCUGAAUCACUUCAGCGGAGAGAGGAACGUCGUUUCCGAUCGAGUGAAGCUGCAGAACCUCCCGCGGCGAACGAUUCGGGGCGGCGGGAACAUCUGGCAGCUCUCUGUGACCUUGACUUCCAGCUGCUGAGAGGGCCGGAGCGCCAGCACCCGACCACAGACAGGAAGCGGGGAGCCAGAGAUCGGCAGCUUAGCACAAAACAUCACCGCAGCCUUUUGGCUUUUUUCAGCCUGAAAAGGCCUCCACGUGAAGCUUCCUGUGUGGGUUUACAGGUCCUGACGUUAUCCAGCCUGAUCUGCUUGAUUUAUACAUUUCAGACACAAAACAUUUGAUCUCUACUGAGUUUUCACAUUUUAUCACGUUAAAAGUUGCAGAUGAAACCCUGUUAGACACUUUAAAGUGGAAAUGCAACGAUCUGAUAUUAAUAUCUGUAUUCGUCCUGAUAUCGAAUAUAAUUCUAGAUCAGGUAUCGGUGACAAUGUUCCCAAUCCAUAAGGGCAGAUCUAUUCAGCCUAAUUCUUUACUUUGUGCUCUGAGCAUAAAAAAUAAAAAGACAUUAUUUAUUUUACAUUAUAUUUAGGAUUCCUAAUUGCACUUCCUGAACCUUUAGAACGAAGGUUCGCUACAGUUUGUUUUUGUCAGAUUCUUUAUUAUUUAUUUUUCAUAAAUAAUAAUGUCAGUGUAAUUCCUCCUAACUGCACUGACUGAACAGAUUCAAGUUGUGUAAGUUGUGUUGUUUUACAUGCUUGACCAAACUUGUGAAGAUGCAGGUGUAUUUAGGUGAGCUGUACUGGUACAGAGUUAUCAAAUAAACUUGUAAUUUAGUUAAUCUAUGUCUAUUUAGAAAACAAAACCAUUUUAAGUCAACUCAGCGCUGUUCUUCUGUAUCGGAUUGUAUCACUAAACCUAACAUAUCAGUAUUGGAAGUGAAAAACGUGGAUGGAUGGAUCCCUGGUUUUCACAUUAAAAGUUUGAAACCCGUGGUGGCGUAGUGGUUAGC